AGUGGAUAGCUGCAGGUAGGUAGAUACGCGCAAUUCCGGGCGGAAGUCACGAGUCCACAUAGUUGCACACUGCGGUACGCCACUUGAUUUAAACAUGUCAGUAGGGAGCUGCCAUCGAGUAUUCCUAAAUCGGCUUCAGGUAGUAUUCGCAUACAAAACGACUCGGUUCUACCUCCCUUGACGGUGUAGCCCUGACGAUGAGAGCACGCAGGCAAGAUGCAGCGAGAACAGCUCGAUUCCUCGAGUCCUUUACUCGAGUUUCUUUUGCGGAUCAUGGCGCAGCGUCGGAUGUCCACGAUAUCGCGAUUCACCAGGGGUAACCUGAGUUUCCCUCAACUCCAACUGCGGAGCAUUCUGUUGCUGCUCCAGGUGUGCAGGUGCUUCCGGUUUACGGGCGGGUAUAACGUGCAGAUGAGCUUUAGGUA